AUUCCAGCUCCAAUAGCGUAUAUUAAAGUUGUUGCGGUUAAAAAGCUCGUAGUUGGAUUUCUGCUGAAGCAAACCGGUCCGCCCUCUGGGUGAGCAUCUGGCUUUAUUUUGGCAUAUGCUUAGACUUUGCAGCUGCACUUGACUGUGUGGUGUGAAGGCUAAGCCAUUUACUUUGAGGAAAUCAGAGUGUUUCAAGCAGGCAAUUGCCUUGAAUACACUAGCAUGGAAUAAUAUGAUAUGACUGUGGUUUUAUUUUGUUGGCUUCUAGAAUUAGAGUAAUGGUUAAUAGGGAUAGUUGGGGGCAUUCAUAUUUAACUGUCAGAGGUGAAAUUCUUGGAUUUGUUAAGGAUGAACGACUGCGAAAGCAUUUGCCAAGGAUGCUUUCAUCA
rnacentral:rRNA from 1 species